CAGGAUUCCCCUAGUAACUGCGAGUGAAGCGGGAAAAGCUCAAAUUUAAAAUCUGGUGGUCUUUGGCCAUCCGAGUUGUAAUCUAGAGAAGUGUUACCCGCGCUGGACCGUGUACAAGUCUCCUGGAAUGGAGCGUCAUAGAGGGUGAGAAUCCCGUCUUUGACACGGACUGCCAGGGCUUUGUGGUGCGCUCUCAAAGAGUCGAGUUGUUUGGGAAUGCAGCUCAAAAUGGGUGGUAAAUUCCAUCUAAAGCUAAAUAUUGGCGAGAGACCGAUAGCGAACAAGUACCGUGAGGGAAAGAUGAAAAGAACUUUGGAAAGAGAGUUAAACAGUACGUGAAAUUGCUGAAAGGGAAACGCUUGAAGUCAGUCGCGUUGGCCGGGAAUCAACCUUGCUUUUGCUGGGCGUACUUUCCGGUCGACGGGUCAGCAUCAGUUUUGACCAUUGGAAAAAGUCUAGAGGAAUGUGGCAUCUCCGGAUGUGUUAUAGCCUCUGGUCGCAUACGAUGGUUGGGACUGAGGAACUCAGCACGCCGCAAGGCCGGGUACUUGUACCACGUUCGUGCUUAGGAUGCUGGCAUAAUGGCUUUAAUCGACCCGUCUUGAAACACGGACCAAGGAGUCUAACAUGCCUGCGAGUGUUUGGGUGGAAAACCCGAGCGCGUAAUGAAAGUGAAAGUUGAGAUCCCUGUCGUGGGGAGCAUCGACGCCCGGACCAGACGUUUUCUGACGGAUCCGCGGUAGAGCAUGUAUGUUGGGACCCGAAAGAUGGUGAACUAUGCCUGAAUAGGGUGAAGCCAGAGGAAACUCUGGUGGAGGCUCGUAGCGAUUCUGACGUGCAAAUCGAUCGUCAAAUUUGGGUAUAGGGGCGAAAGACUAAUCGAACCAUCUAGUAGCUGGUUCCUGCCGAGUUUUCCUCAG
rnacentral:rRNA from 1 species